CAAAAGCAACCAGCAUUGUGGUUUACAAGUACAACAAAGUAGAGAGAAUCAACUCUUUACUGAGGUCCUUUGCUGCUGAUCUUCCAGAUGUUCUCUCCCGUGGAGCUCUGUCUUUUAUGGGAGACACUGGAAUAACCAUGGGAGCUUUGGAACGAGACCAACUUGGAUUCAAAUUCCAGCUCUGUCAACCAUGUGAUUAUAGCUGUGCAUGGCCCCCUCGAGUGAAGUAGACAAAGGACGUCUCCUGAGACACUUGAGUCUCACCAUAUUAAAGUCAUUGCAUUUUUUUA